GAACGCUGGCGGCGUGCUUAACACAUGCAAGUCGAGCGGAAAGGCCCUUCGGGGUACUCGAGCGGCGAACGGGUGAGUAACACGUGAGUAACCUGCCCUCAACUUCGGGAUAAGCCUGGGAAACCGGGUCUAAUACCGGAUAGGACCCUGCGUGGCAUCGUGCGGGGUGGAAAGUUUUUUCGGUUGGGGAUGGGCUCGCGGCCUAUCAGCUUGUUGGUGGGGUAGUGGCCUACCAAGGCGACGACGGGUAGCCGGCCUGAGAGGGCGACCGGCCACACUGGGACUGAGACACGGCCCAGACUCCUACGGGAGGCAGCAGUGGGGAAUAUUGCGCAAUGGGCGGAAGCCUGACGCAGCGACGCCGCGUGGGGGAUGACGGCCUUCGGGUUGUAAACCUCUUUCAGCAGGGACGAAGUUGACGUGUACCUGCACAAGAAGCGCCGGCUAACUACGUGCCAGCAGCCGCGGUAAUACGUAGGGCGCAAGCGUUGUCCGGAAUUAUUGGGCGUAAAGAGCUCGUAGGUGGCUUG
rnacentral:rRNA from 1 species